rnacentral:RNase_P_RNA from 1 species
AGAGUAGCACAGAUGAUCGCGCCCUUUUGGGUGAGGAAAGUCCGGGCUCCGCAGGGCAGGGUGCCGGAUAACGUCCGGUCGGGGCGACCCGAAGGCCAGUGCAAUAGAAAAGAAACCGCCGACCUCGGUCGGUAAGGGUGGAAUGGCGGUGUAAGAGACCACCGCUCUUGCGGUAACGUAAGAGGCUGUGUAAACCCCACUCGGAGCAAGACAAAACAGAAAGCGAUACGGCGGCCCGUCGUGCUUUCGGGUAUGUCGCGUUUUGUGCCGCAAGGCGCAAAGGAGCUGUGCGGUAACGUACAGUCAAGAUAGAUGAUCAUCGGAUACAGAACCCGGCUUACAGUGCUACUCGAUUU